UACGUAGGGGGCAAGCGUUGUCCGGAAUCAUUGGGCGUAAAGCGCGUGUAGGCGGCUUGAUAAGUCUGCUCUGAAAGCCCGGGGCUCAACCCUGGGAGGCGGGUGGAUACUGUCGAGCUCGAGUCCGGAAGAGGCGAGUGGAAUUCCUGGUGUAGCGGUGAAAUGCGUAGAUAUCUGGAGGAAUACCGGUGGCGAAGGCGGCAUCCUGGACCGACAUUGACGCUGAUGAGCGAAAGCUAGGGGAGCAAACGGG
rnacentral:rRNA from 1 species